rnacentral:ncRNA from 1 species
GACCAAGGAGUUUAGCAUAUGCGCAAGCUAUUGGGUGGUAAACCCGUUCAAAAGACACAAUGAAAGUAAAGAUCAUUAUUGUUUUGAUUGUUAUGUGAUCCGUAUUGUUGUUAAUACAAUACGGCGCAACAUGGCCCCGUCCAUGUUUAGCUCUUUGAGCAAACGGGGCGGAGAUAGAGCGUAUACGCUGAGACCCGAAAGAUGGUGAACUAUGCCUGAGCAGGAUGAAGCCAGAGGAAACUCUGGUGGAGGUCCGAAGCGAUUCUGACGUGCAAAUCGAUCGUCCGACUUGGGUAUAGGGGCGAAAGACUAAUCGAACUAUCUAGUAGCUGGUUCCCUCUGAAGUUUCCCCCAGGAUAGCUGGAGUACAGCAAAAGCACAGUUAUAUUCGGUAAAGCGAAUGAUUAGAGGAAUUGGGAACGAAACGUUCUCAACCUAUUCUCAAACUUUCAAUGGGUAUGAAGUUUCGCUUGCUUAACACAUUUUGAAGCGAUAACAUUGAAUGUGUGCUCCAAGUGGGCCAUUUUUGGUAAGCAGAACUGGCGCUGUGGGAUGAACCAAACGUUGAGUUAAAGUGUCAAACUUCCCGCUCAUGAGACCCCAUGAAAGGCGUUGGUUGAUAUAGACAGCAGGACGGUGGCCAU